rnacentral:rRNA from 1 species
GAUGAACGCUGGCGGCGUGCCUAACACAUGCAAGUCGAACGGAGCUGCUUUGAUGAAGUUUUCGGAUGGAUUUAAAACAGCUUAGUGGCGGACGGGUGAGUAACGCGUGGGUAACCUGCCUCACACUGGGGGAUAACAGUUAGAAAUAGCUGCUAAUACCGCAUAAGCGCACAGUUCCGCAUGGAACAGUGUGAAAAACUCCGGUGGUGUGAGAUGGACCCGCGUCUGAUUAGCCAGUUGGCGGGGUAACGGCCCACCAAAGCGACGAUCAGUAGCCGGCCUGAGAGGGUGAACGGCCACAUUGGGACUGAGACACGGCCCAAACUCCUACGGGAGGCAGCAGUGGGGAAUAUUGCACAAUGGGGGAAACCCUGAUGCAGCGACGCCGCGUGAGUGAAGAAGUAUUUCGGUAUGUAAAGCUCUAUCAGCAGGGAAGAAAGUGACGGUACCUGAAUAAGAAGCCCCGGC